UACGAAGGGUGCAAACGUUGCUCGGAAUUAUUGGGCGUAAAGCGCACGUAGGCGGCAUUGCAAGUCGGAUGUGAAUCUUAUGGCUUAACCAUAAAAGUGCAUCCGAAACUGCAGUGCUUGAGUACUUAAGAGGAUCGCGGAAUUCCCGGUGUAGAGGUGAAAUGCGCAGAUAUCAGGAGGAACACCGAUGGCGAAGGCAGGUCUCUGGCCGAUGACUGACGCUGAGGAGCGAAAGCGUGGGGAGCGAACAGG
rnacentral:rRNA from 1 species